rnacentral:rRNA from 1 species
GAGUUUGAUCCUGGCUCAGAGCGAACGCUGGCGGCAGGCUUAACACAUGCAAGUCGAGCGGGUGUAGCAAUACAUCAGCGGCAGACGGGUGAGUAACGCGUGGGAACGUACCUUUUGGUUCGGAACAACACAGGGAAACUUGUGCUAAUACCGGAUAAGCCCUUACGGGGAAAGAUUUAUCGCCGAAAGAUCGGCCCGCGUCUGAUUAGCUAGUUGGUGAGGUAAUGGCUCACCAAGGCGACGAUCAGUAGCUGGUCUGAGAGGAUGAUCAGCCACAUUGGGACUGAGACACGGCCCAAACUCCUACGGGAGGCAGCAGUGGGGAAUAUUGGACAAUGGGGGCAACCCUGAUCCAGCCAUGCCGCGUGAGUGAUGAAGGCCCUAGGGUUGUAAAGCUCUUUUGUGCGGGAAGAUAAUGACGGUACCGCAAGAAUAAGCCCCGGCUAACUUCGUGCCAGCAGCCGCGGUAAUACGAAGGGGGCUAGCGUUGCUCGGAAUCACUGGGCGUAAGGGUGCGUAGGCGGGUCUUUAAGUCAGGGGUGAAAUCCUGGAGCUCAACUCCAGAACUGCCUUUGAUACUGAAGAUCUUGAGUCCGGGAGAGGUGAGUGGAACUGCGAGUGUAGAGGUGAAAUUCGUAGAUAUUCGCAAGAACACCAGUGGCGAANGCGGCUCACUGGCCCGGUACUGACGCUGAGNNACGAAAGCGUGGGGAGCAANC